CGCGGGAAUUGAGCAAGGGCGGCUCCGCGGUCUCAUAAGCCGUGACACGGCAGGUUCGACUCCUGCUCCCGCAACCA
rnacentral:tRNA from 1 species